AUCUAGCUGACGAGUCCCGAAUAGGAUGAACCACACGUCCUGGAU
rfam:Schistosoma mattheei strain Denwood, Zambia genome assembly, scaffold: SMTD_scaffold0004334